rnacentral:rRNA from 1 species
CGAGCGGCGGACGGCUGAGUAACACGUAGGAACGUACCCCAAAGUGAGGGAUAAGCACCAGAAAUGGUGUCUAAUACCGCAUGUGCUCUAAGGAGUAAAGCUUUAUGCGCUUUGGGAGCGGCCUGCGCCUGAUUAGUUUGUUGGUGAGGUAAUGGCUCACCAAGACUACGAUCAGUAGCUGGUCUGAGAGGAUGAUCAGCCAGACUGGGACUGAGAACGGCCCAGACUCCUACGGGAGGCAGCAGUAGGGAAUUUUCCACAAUGGACGAAAGUCUGAUGGAGCAACGCCGCGUGCAGGAUGAAUGCCUUUGGGUUGUAAACUGCUUUUAUCUGUGACGAAUAUGACGGUAGCAGAUGAAUAAGGAUCGGCUAACUCCGUGCCAGCAGCCGCGGUCAUACGGAGGAUCCAAGCGUUAUCCGGAAUUACUGGGCGUAAAGAGUUGCGUAGGUGGCAUUGUAAGUUAGUAGUGAAAUCGUGUGGCUCAACCAUGCUCACAUUACUAAAACUACAAAGCUAGAGAAUGAGAGAGGUCGCUAGAAUUCCCUGUGUAGGAGUGAAAUCCGUAGAUAUAGGGAGGAAUACCGAUGGCGUAGGCAGGCGACUGGCUCAUUUCUGACACUAAAGCACGAAAGCGUGGGUAGCAAACGGGAUUAGAUACC